rnacentral:rRNA from 1 species
AGAACGACGCUGGCGGCAGGCUUAACACAUGCAAGUCGAACGGGCGUAGCAAUACGUCAGUGGCAGACGGGUGAGUAACACGUGGGAACCUUCCUAGGGGUACGGAACAACUCAGGGAAACUUGAGCUAAUACCGUAUACGUCCGUGAGGAGAAAGAUUUAUCGCCCUUAGACGGGCCCGCGUCGGAUUAGCUAGUUGGUGGGGUAACGGCCUACCAAGGCGACGAUCCGUAGCUGAUCUGAGAGGAUGAUCAGCCACACUGGGACUGAGACACGGCCCAGACUCCUACGGGAGGCAGCAGUGGGAAUCUUGGACAAUGGGCGCAAGCCUGAUCCAGCCAUGCCGCGUGAGUGAAGAAGGCCUUCGGGUUGUAAAGCUCUUUUGUCAGGGACGAUAAUGACGGUACCUGAAGAAUAAGCCCCGGCAAACUUCGUG